rnacentral:lncRNA from 1 species
UGUAAAGAUUUUUUUUUUCUUUCUGAUAAGGUUAAGUAAAUCAAGAUAAAUGUGUAGUCUCCCACUAAAAUACUGGAGCCAACAUACUGCAUCAUUUUUGAAGAAGCUUGAAAGGAAAUGACAUAGGAAUUUCUUAGGAUUCCUAUUUGGAAGAAAAAUGUCCCCAGAUUUAUAAAUGUCUAGCCCUGAAAAUGCUUAGCAACUGCAUGUAAUCUGCAUUUUUAUCCUGCAAAGGGUUGCCACCCUUUUCAAAACAAAUCAGCAGAAUUAAAAGGGCCGAGGGGGAGUUUUCACUUGCUUUCUGAUGGCAAGGUAGGACUUUCAUGUAUGUCUGCCUAAUUUGAGGAAUGACUGCUUGGUAAUGGAAGAGUGGAUAAAAAAUAUUAAAGAAAAGUUCACACAGUAUGGGAAAUACGUUACGCUGUUGCUCUGAAAA